UACGUAGGGGCCGAGCGUUGUCCGGAGUUAUUGGGCGUAAAGCGUCCGCAGGUGGCAGUUCAAGUCUGCUGUCAAAGACCGGGGCUUAACUUCGGAAAGGCAGUGGAAACUGAACAGCUAGAGUAUGGUAGGGGCAGAGGGAAUUCCUGGUGUAGCGGUGAAAUGCGUAGAGAUCAGGAAGAACAUCGGUGGCGAAGGCGCUCUGCUGGACCAUAACUGACACUCAGGGACGAAAGCUAGGGGAGCGAAUGGG
rnacentral:rRNA from 1 species